AAUCAACGCUGGCGGCGUGCCUAACACAUGCAAGUCGAACGCGAAAGUGGAGCAAUCCAUGAGUAGAGUGGCGAACGGGUGAGUAACACGUGGGUAAUUUACCUUUGGGUGGGAUAGCAGCCGGAACGGCUAUUAAUACCGCAUAAUGCAGCGGCUCGACAUCGAGACAGUUGUUAAAGCGGGGAGUCUGACAAGGACCUCGCGCCUAAAGAGAAGCCUGCGUCAGAUUAGCUAGUUGGUAGGGUAAGUGGCCUACCAAGGCUGUGAUCUGUAGCCGGCCUGAGAGGGCGGGUCGGCCACACUGACACUGACACACGGGUCAGACUCCUACGGGAGGCAGCAGUCGGGAAUUUUGGGUCAAUGGGCGCAAGCCUGACCCAGCAACGCCGCGUGAAGGAUG
rnacentral:rRNA from 1 species